CUGGUUGGCUGAAGCAGUUGCCACCUGGCCAACCGGCCAAAAACUGCCAUGUCACCAACAGCCUAGGCCUGCUCCCCAGAGGCCCUGACUGUGUAGUAAUACAAUCAAGGGAGAUACGAGAAAAGAGGAAUGGAAGUCCAAGCAGCUCAGAGGAGUGAGAAGGACCCAGGAGCCCAUGACUUCUCGUAACAAGGAUGAAAUAAUUUCUUACUCAAAAGCAUCUUGCCAAGACUAGCUUUGAGCUGCUCUUCUCUCAGUCCUCAAGGGCUGUUAGACCAAGGUUACUUAAAAGAAGUAGUCAUCUAAAGUAGACACAUGAGGGAAGUCUUAGACAUUUAUAAGAAUAAAUAUGAAAGAAACUAA